rnacentral:rRNA from 1 species
UACGGAGGGGGCGAGCGUUGUUCGGAAUUAUUGGGCGUAAAGGGCGCGUAGGCGGCCAUUCAAGUGACGGGUGAAAGCCCUCGGCUUAACCGAGGAACUGCCUGUCAGACUGGAUGGCUUGAGACCGGGAGAGGUGAGUGGAAUUCCCAGUGUAGCGGUGAAAUGCGUAGAUAUUGGGAGGAACACCAGUGGCGAAGGCGGCUCACUGGACCGGAACUGACGCUGAGGCGCGAAAGCGUGGGGAGCAAACAGG